UACAGAGGUCUCAAGCGUUGUUCGGAAUUACUGGGCGUAAAGGGUGCGCAGGCCGCGCGGGCAGUCAAUUGUGUAAUUCAGGGGCUCAACCCCUGGACUGCGCUUGAUACUUCCGUGCUAGAGCUUUGGAGAGGAGUCUGGAAUUCUCGGUGUAGCAGUGAAAUGCGUGGAUAUUGAGAAGAACACUAGGGCGAAGGCAAGACUCUGGACAAAAUGCUGACGCUCAUGCACGAAGGCUAGGGGUAGC
rnacentral:rRNA from 1 species